ACGCUGGCGGCGUGCUUAACACAUGCAAGUCGAACGAGAGGACAAGAGAAGCUUGCUUCUUUUGGAAUCGAGUGGCAAACGGGUGAGUAACACGUAAACAACCUGCCUUCAGGAUGGGGACAACAGACGGAAACGACUGCUAAUACCGAAUACGCUUGGGAGACCGCAUGAUCUUCCAAGAAAGGGUGGCCUCUACUUGUAAGCUAUCGCCUGAAGAGGGGUUUGCGUCUGAUUAGGCAGUUGGUGAGGUAACGGCCCACCAAACCUACGAUCAGUAGCCGGUCUGAGAGGAUGAACGGCCACACUGGAACUGAGACACGGUCCAGACUCCUACGGGAGGCAGCAGUGGGGAAUCUUCCGCAAUGGGCGAAAGCCUGACGGAGCAACGCCGCGUGAGUGAUGACGGCCUUCGGGUUGUAAAGCUCUGUGAUCGGGGACGAACGGUCCGUAAGCCAAUACCUUAUGGAAGUGACGGUACCCGAAUAGCAAGCCACGGCUAACUACGUG
rnacentral:rRNA from 1 species